GACAGAGGCCUCAAGCGUUAGGCGGAAUCACUGGGCUUAAAGCGUGUGUAGGCGGAUCGUUAAGUGUCUUGUGAAAUCCCACGGCUCACCCGUGGAACUGCUGGGCAUACUGGCGAUCUUGGGCCAACUAGGGGCAGCCGGAACAAGCGGUGGAGCGGUGAAAUGCGUAGAUAUCGCUUGGAACGCCGAAGGUGAAAACAGGCUGCUGGGGUUGUGCCGACGCUGAGACACGAAAGCGUGGGGAGCGAACAGG
rnacentral:rRNA from 1 species